UACGAAGGGGGCUAGCGUUGCUCGGAAUUACUGGGCAUAAAGAGCGCGUAGGCGGUCUGAUAAGUCCGAUGUGAAAUCCCUGGACCCAAUCCAGGAAGUGCAUCGGAUACUGUUAGACUAGAGUGCAGGAGGGGAGAGCGGAAUUCCAGGUGUAGAGGUGAAAUUCGUAGAUAUCUGGAGGAACAACAGUGGCGAAGGCGGCUCUCUGGACUGUUACUGACGCUGGGGCGCGAAAGCGUGGGGAGCAAACAGG
rnacentral:rRNA from 1 species